rnacentral:tRNA from 1 species
GGCCAGCUACCUCAGUCAGUAGAGGAUUAAACUCUUAACCUCAGGUUUGUGGGUUCAAGUCCCAUGUUGGGUG